rnacentral:lncRNA from 1 species
CUGCAAGUGCUGUUGUUAACAGUAGCUACUUUUCCAAAGGAGCUCUUUGGAUGUCUGGUGCUUUAAGUAAAGCGGCUAAAGCUGCAGCUGAUUUGGGUAGCCGAGGCAUUAACAAAUGAGUAGAUUCAGAGCAACUGCCUUGCAGCUUAGAUUCUUCUAUAUGAGAAUGGUGUUAGUUGAUGUAGUUUUCUAGAGUAUAUACUUUUAUACCUGCCGCAUGCAGUAUCCCUUUCAUUGGCACUGGUAUUAGUCCUUAGGUUGUGUGGAUCUAGAGUUGUGAGUUGAAUGGAUUGGGAUGAUAUUGAUUCAACUGAAAUCAGACUGGUGUUUCCUUUCCACUUUUAUUGGGAUAAUAGGUCGAUGUUGUAAAGGACAUACGGAACAAUACUACGUGUUUAAGUAGAAAUUUUCUUCAGGUUACUGAUUUUUUUUACUGGUCUUGCAACAUGCACUUGUUCUAAAAUUCUUUGUAAAGAUGACUGGUUAGAAGCUGCUCUCAAGAUACAAAUUUUAAGAUUAGAUUUAAGGAAGCUGCUUGCGACAACUGAUGAACAAUCUUUUAUCCCUCUAUGUACACAGGACUCGGUUGCUGGCUAUGAUGUACAUAAGUAUUUGAUAAGUGUCUGUGAAAUUUUAUUUAUUGCCAAGUUUUAGCGUAUUAAUAAGAAUUUGCAUGGAGCACUCAGUACAAAAUCAUAUCUUACAUGGGUACAUCUAUGAAUGAGGUGUGCGUUUCUAAUGAGUGGAUUUAUAAUUCCAGCAGGACCCCCUGGGACAGCAUUUUGUUUCUUCUGCUGGGGAAGCUGUGACGAUGACUCAAAAUGUGGUUAAAACCAUGCUAUCUAAAGGGUAUAUUCUUGGAAAAGGUGCAUUGGGGAAAGCCAAAGCUUUUGACGAAUCUCAUGCGCUGUCAGCAACUGCAGUCUCCAAGGUUGCUGAUUUGAGUGAGAGAAUCGGCCUCACCGACAAGUUUUGUGCCGGGGUUGAAGUGGCCAGAUCUGUGGAUCAGAGGUAUCACAUAUCGGAUACCACCAGAUCAGCUGUGUCAGCUACAGGUAGAACUGGUGUCUCUGCUGCAAGUGCUGUUGUUAACAGUAGCUACUUUUCCAAAGGAGCUCUUUGGAUGUCUGGUGCUUUAAGUAAAGCGGCUAAAGCUGCAGCUGAUUUGGGUAGCCGAGGCAUUAACAAAUGAGUAGAUUCAGAGCAACUGCCUUGCAGCUUAGAUUCUUCUAUAUGAGAAUGGUGUUAGUUGAUGUAGUUUUCUAGAGUAUAUACUUUUAUACCUGCCGCAUGCAGUAUCCCUUUCAUUGGCACUGGUAUUAGUCCUUAGGUUGUGUGGAUCUAGAGUUGUGAGUUGAAUGGAUUGGGAUGAUAUUGAUUCAACUGAAAUCAGACUGGUGUUUCCUUUCCACUUUUGUUGG